UGUGGUUACAAUAGCAGAGAGGAUACACCUGUUCCCAUUCCGAACACAGAAGUUAAGCUCUCUAGCGCUGAUGGUA
rnacentral:rRNA from 1 species